rnacentral:rRNA from 1 species
UACGUAGGGUCCGAGCGUUGUCCGGAAUCAUUGGGCGUAAAGCGCGUGUAGGCGGUUCGGUAAGUCCGCUGUGAAAGUCGGGGGCUCAACCCUCGGAUGCCGGUGGAUACUGUCGAGCUUGAGUACGGAAGAGGCGAGUGGAAUUCCCGGUGUAGCGGUGAAAUGCGCAGAUAUCGGGAGGAACACCAAUUGCGAAGGCAGCUCGCUGGGACGUCACUGACGCUGAGACGCGAAAGCGUGGGGAGCAAACAGG